rnacentral:rRNA from 1 species
ACGCUCGACACCUACUGGAGGCAGCAGUGGGGAAUAUUGCACAAUGGGGGAAACCCUGAUGCAGCGACGCCGCGUGAGCGAAGAAGUAUCUCGGUAUGUAAAGCUCUAUCAGCAGGGAAGAAGAUGACGGUACCUGACUAAGAAGCGCCGGCUAAAUACGUGCCAGCAGCCGCGGUAAUCUGAGCGGGCUGGCAAGGC